UACGUAGGGUGCAAGCGUUAAUCGGAAUUACUGGGCGUAAAGCGUGCGCAGGCGGUUCGUUGUGUCUGAUGUGAAAGCCCCGGGCUCAACCUGGGAAUGGCAAUGGAAACUGGCGGGCUGGAGUAUGGCAGAGGGGGGUGGAAUUCCGCGUGUAGCAGUGAAAUGCGUAGAGAUGCGGAGGAACACCGAUGGCGAAGGCAGCCCCCUGGGCCAAUACUGACGCUCAGGCACGAAAGCGUGGGGAGCGAACAGG
rnacentral:rRNA from 1 species